UAGAAGUGGUUACAUACUCCCAACUAGAGUUUUAAAACUUACACAAGCAAUUUUGUUAAAAAAUGUUUUUCCUAUUAGGUCCAACUUCAAUAUUAUUAAACUGCAUGUGUGUGUGUGUGUGUGUGUGUGUGUGUGUGAUAUAGAACCAAUGGUGUUAUAUCCAU